UGGUGGCGAGUGGCGAACGGGUGAGUAAUACAUCGGAAUGUACCCAGUAGUGGGGGAUAACUAGUCGAAAGAUUAGCUAAUACCGCAUACGCACUAUGGUGGAAAGCGGGGGAUCGCAAGACCUCGCGCUAUUGGAGCAGCCGAUGUCCGAUUAGGUAGUUGGUGGGGUAAAAGCCUACCAAGCCCGCGAUCGGUAACUGGUCUGAGAGGACGACCAGUCACACUGGGACUGAGACACGGCCCAGACUCCUACGGGAGGCAGCAGUGGGGAAUUUUGGACAAUGGGGGAAACCCUGAUCCAGCAAUGCCGCGUGUGUGACGAAGGCCUUCGGGUUGUAAAGCACUUUUGGCGGGAACGAAACGGCGCUUUCUAAUACAGAGCGCUAAUGACGGUACCCGCAGAAUAAGCACCGGCUAACUACGUGCCAGCAGCCGCGGUAAUACGUA
rnacentral:rRNA from 1 species